rnacentral:pre_miRNA from 1 species
UCCUGCUAAUGCUGUGAGCAAGGGAGUUGGGAUGCUGUAUGUUGGCAAUUAUUCGCCAACAUACAGCAUCCCAACUCCCUUGCUUCACCUUCC